UGGUACGUCUUCCAGGCCUAGUGCGCCAAGCGUGCGUGUUGUUCGAGCACGUGGCUCUCGUCCGCUGUCUUCACGCACCAAGAAUUCACCACCGUAGGCUAAAUGCUCCGUGAGAGUGCUCCCUGUCGUUUGGAACGCAUGGACCAGGGGACAUUCCUUCGCUGAAAGCUUCGGCAUCUUUAACCCCUUCAGGUGGGCCACAGCUGUCAGGGUGGCACGCCAAGCUUUUGACUGCGGUGUCUGAAUGCACGGUGGCAUUCGGUAUUGCUUGCGGGGUUUCUAUCUAGCGACACUCGCAGUAACUGCUAGGUAAAUUCAAUUGCGGUCAAUUACGCUGCUCAAAUACGGGAGUGGGCAAAGGCGGUCACAGCGCGGCGGGUUCUUCUCCGUGGCGGAAACGAGAGUGGCAUCCAAGCUUCAGUCGAGCCGCUCGGGGUCUGAAUCGUCGCACAGCUUCAGCACUCUUCAGUUUUCGUCGGGGAGAUGGGCCCGCACCGAAUGCCGCAGAGUACCGUUGCCACUGUUUCGUCUCGGUUUUGCGUUGCGUCGCGUCGGGGCCACGUGGAAAAUUGAAUGGACGAGGCAGUCGCUUCGUGGAAAACGGCAUUCGGUUUAGCUUUUGUCAGUUUUCAUCGAAACAACGUGGCUUCGGUCCGCAGCCCAUCGUUAAGCCCUGCUGUGGCCAUGGUACGUGGUGAAUUUCCGUGUUUUCAUUUUGCACUCGUCCCCGUCUCCCGUAUCUCGUCAGUUCUCGUCCCGUCCUUACUCAAUUCGCAAUGAACCGAUAAUGACACUGUUCUCAGCUGAGCUCGCAGGUGUAGCCUGGCUGAACUGGACACGCUGACCAUACGUGGUUGCGGCGCAACUGCUCAUAAUGAGCUGAUAAGCGUUCUGGGCCGGCCGAGCCGCAGCAAACCACGUUCCUGUUCUUUGCCAGCGUCAUGCCGUUGGCACCCUGCCAGCUGUGAACAGCUUCACUCCAGUCCAUUCCUUCUUUAUAACUUGUUGACAUCUUUCGCUGUACUGCUGAAGAUAUGCUGCUGAAGACGCAAGGUCUUUGCGCAAGCCUUGGCAUACAU